AACGAACGCUGGCGGCAGGCUUAACACAUGCAAGUCGAACGCGCCCUUCGGGGCGAGUGGCAGACGGGUGAGUAACGCGUGGGAACCUACCUUUUGGUACGGAAUAACUCAGGGAAACUUGAGCUAAUACCGUAUAAGCCCUGACUUUUAAUCGGGUCUGGGGAAAGAUUCAUCGCCAAAGGAUGGGCCCGCGUCGGAUUAGCUAGUUGGUGGGGUAAUGGCCUACCAAGGCGACGAUCCGUAGCUGGUCUGAGAGGAUGAUCAGCCACACUGGGACUGAGACACGGCCCAGACUCCUACGGGAGGCAGCAGUGGGGAAUAUUGGACAAUGGGGGCAACCCUGAUCCAGCCAUGCCGCGUGAGUGAUGAAGGCCUUAGGGUUGUAAAGCUCUUUCGCCGGUGAAGAUAAUGACGGUAACCGGAGAAGAAGCCCCGGCUAACUUCGUGCCAGCCGCCGCCGUAACAC
rnacentral:rRNA from 1 species